rnacentral:lncRNA from 1 species
UGACUCAUCAAUCCAAACACCAUUGUUAUUAUCGACCCACUUGCAACCAAAUAUGGGAACACGAAACAUUGUGUAGUCUAACUCCCAUAUGCGCUCAAUAACCCCAAAAUAUGAUAGAUUUGCAUAUAUUGGGUUUUUGUCUUUUGCACUUGAGACAUGCAUCGCUUCAGCUACGAGAGUGACUCCGCUAUUUUGCAUAGUGGU